ACCACACACCUCUAUUGCAAUUUACAUGUUUUUUGUUUCUCUAUACAGGAAGUCAGCUGUCAAAAUUUCAGCUAAAAGGAAAAGUAAAAGAAGCCAAAACAAUGAUGAUGCUUGCCAGUAUCACAGCACAUUGGACAUUUUCCCAGUGCAAUAUGUGUCCAAGACACGUGAAAAAAAGGGCUGUAAAGAAGUCCUGGUCCAUUGGCUCCCGUGUCCAUCAUGGUAACAUCAGCUUUCUUGUUUAACUGACUUAUGAGUUGUCCUUAGAGGGACAGUUAACCUAAUUAAGAAGCCUGUCUGAUUGACCAUGAAUUGGAAGUUAUUUAUGUUUAUGUAAUAAGCGCCUGGACCAGUGUUACAUUUCUUAUUGGGAAGUCAAGAGGGCUGCUUAAUUCAGAUGAACUAAGACCUCUCCACAUGUGGCAUCAGUUUUUUCCUACAGAGAGAUGAAGCUACACAACUACAACAUACAUGGACAGUUUAAAAUGUCAUUACAAAGUGAGAAUAAUAUACUUCUACAUUCUCUUCUGCUUUCUCCACCCCAUUCUAUCAGGGAAAUGUGUAGAAGCCUAACAGGGUUUAUAAACCAUGUCAGAGGCUAUCCUUAUAUUUAACCUAUUUCAGAAAUUUAAAUACAGAAUUUGUGUACGUUUUAUUUUGCCAUUUCUUUCAGCCAAAAGGCCCGGCCCCCAUCUUGGGAACCGCAGGAGAAGAUGGGAAUGACUGUAUCAUAAAGGAAAGUCUGCUAAAAAUACUGUUGUCACAUUGAUGGUGCAAAGAAACAAAUGUUGUGUCCCUUAAACUGGGCCAUGUGGACAACAAUAAAGUUGUAUUGCACAGAAUUGAUUCCAAUCUAAUGAAAUAGUAUUUGUUUUAUAAAUCUGUUUCAUUAUUUGUUCAUUAGGGCUGGGUGUUGGGAAGGACCUCAUCGCAUCCAAUAUUUCCAUUAUCCAAAAGGCCAAUCGUUGUAUUGUGCAGUUUGCCUUUUCACUUCCUUCCACCCAGAGAAACUAGUCUGCAUUGUCUGCCACUUCCUAUCAGCAUUUCACGAUAAAAGUUCUGUUGCUGGUUUUCUUCUUGUUUCUCCUUCUCUGAAAACAUGGAAUUGACAUUUUUACUAGAGUACUUGAGGGUGUAUAAAUAUCUUUCAUUCUGUCCUAUGACAAAGUUUGAUUUUCACCUCAUUCUGGCCCCAUAUAUUCAAGCUCGUUAAUAAAGCACAAGCACGCCUGUAUGUACAAUAGUAACCCCAAGAAAUUUUAAAAUACCAAAAU